ACUCUGCUCUGGGUACUGUGUAAAGGACUCCACAGCCAUCAACUUCCCUUCAUCCUUGCCGUGUCUUUGAAAGAGCUGAGAUUUCUUUACAUCACAGUGGUUCAAGGAGAAAAACACAGCCAGAUCCUUCCUCAUCUCAACAUAAAUUAAACCCAGAGGCAGUCAGCGCCACAGUCCACACUCGUAACCGUUACACUCACCUGGAAAUAAAAGUAUUUUUGUGCGGGGACUGCAAGGACUAAGCCCGGCCGCACUCCGAGUUUCUCCUCCUCACAGGUGCUCCAUUAAAUCAGGAACCUUGUUGCUUCUGGUAUCUGGGGUGUCCCACCGCUACCCCCAUGUGAGUGCCUGGCACAUAUAGAUACUUGAUACCUGCUUGCUGAAUAAAUGAAUAAGUGCAACUUGACUGGAUGAUGAGAGGCACAGCUGAGUCCGGAGCAGACUGAGCCACCUAAGAGGGGAGGAACCGCUGCAGAGAAACCGUGUUAAGCCUUUUUGAAGUUCCAGAGGGAGAACAAGAGAGCGGAGGCUCCUGGUGGCUGGUGACAGCUGCUCUUGGCUGGGAGAGCAGAGAACAGGGGACAGGAGAGAAGCCCCGAGAGUACUGAAGCUGAGGCUGGGGCGGUCUUCACUUCCCUCUUUCCUCGGCCCUUUUCCUGUUCUCUUGUCUUGUCUCUCUUUCUCUACUUUCCUUCUCCCUAGCCCAGUCUCUCACCGCUCUUCAGCCUCUGGGCCUUUCCUUCUUCCUCUCUUGCCCUCAUUCUUCCUUCUCUGUCCCUCUUGUCUUCUCUUUUACCUCUUCUCUUCUUCCCUCCUUCCUACAGCUAUGCCCUCUUCCCUCCUUUCUCUUGUCCCCAACCAGGGCAUUAGAAAUGCAUUCCAGUUACACUGAUCUGAUCACUGCAUAUUGUAUGCAUGCAUCAAAAUAUCACAUGUACCCCAGAAAUAUGUAAAUUACUGCAUAUCAAUAAAAAGAAAUGUAGCUUCUUUGCCUCACAUACAGAAAAGCCAAUCUGAAGUAUAAAUAAAUAAACAAACAAAUAAAUAAAACGAACCACACUGGCCCCCCCGCCGCCUCCCAGCCAUCAUCUGGGCCUGCCACUAUUUGCUCAGGGUAUCUAAACAUCAGCCAAAAUCAAAGAAAAAGUUUUAAAAUCUAUUGUUAAAAAUUUCCAAGGCUAAGUUGACAUGCAUGUACAAUAGCAUUUCCCAAACUGUGACUUAAUAAACUCCAAGCCUUCAAGUUGGGAGAGGUGGUUCCAUGAUACCGUUAAAAGCACAGACUGAAGCCCAUCUGCCUGGGUUUAAAUCCUUGCUCUGCAGCAUGAUAGUUAUGUGACC
rnacentral:lncRNA from 1 species